GACAGAGGUGCCGAGCGUUAGGCGGAAUCACUGGGCUUAAAGCGUGUGUAGGCGGACUUCUAAGUACCUUGUGAAAUCCCACGGCUUAACCGUGGAACUGCUUGGUAUACUGGUUGUCUUGGGCCAUCUAGGGGCUACCGGAACAAACGGUGGAGCGGUGAAAUGCGCAGAUAUCGGGAAGAACACCCGUGGCUAAGGCGGCUCUCUAGUACGGUACUGACGCUGAGACGCGAAAGCGUGGGGAGGCGAACAGG
rnacentral:rRNA from 1 species